AACGAACGCUGGCGGCAUGCCUAACACAUGCAAGUCGAACGAGACCUUCGGGUCUAGUGGCGCACGGGUGCGUAACGCGUGGGAAUCUGCCCUUGGGUUCGGAAUAACUUCGGGAAACUGAAGCUAAUACCGGAUGAUGACGUAAGUCCAAAGAUUUAUCGCCCAAGGAUGAGCCCGCGUAGGAUUAGCUAGUUGGUGAGGUAAAGGCUCACCAAGGCGACGAUCCUUAGCUGGUCUGAGAGGAUGAUCAGCCACACUGGGACUGAGACACGGCCCAGACUCCUACGGGAGGCAGCAGUGGGGAAUAUUGGACAAUGGGCGAAAGCCUGAUCCAGCAAUGCCGCGUGAGUGAUGAAGGCCUUAGGUUGUAAAGCUCUUUACCCGGGAUGAUAAUGACAGUACCGGGAGAAUAAGCUCCGGCUAACUCCGUGCCAGCAGCCGCGGUAAAGUGACUACUG
rnacentral:rRNA from 1 species